rnacentral:rRNA from 1 species
AGUGAACGCUGGCGGUAGGCCUAACACAUGCAAGUCGAACGGCAGCACAGUAAGAGCUUGCUCUUACGGGUGGCGAGUGGCGGACGGGUGAGGAAUACAUCGGAAUCUACUUUUUCGUGGGGGAUAACGUAGGGAAACUUACGCUAAUACCGCAUACGACCUACGGGUGAAAGCAGGGGAUCUUCGGACCUUGCGCGAUUGAAUGAGCCGAUGUCGGAUUAGCUAGUUGGCGGGGUAAAGGCCCACCAAGGCGACGAUCCGUAGCUGGUCUGAGAGGAUGAUCAGCCACACUGGAACUGAGACACGGUCCAGACUCCUACGGGUGGCAGCAGUGGGGAAUAUUGGACAAAGGGCGCAAGCCUGAUCCAGCCAUACCGCGUGGGUGAAGAAGGCCUUCGGGUUGUAAAGCCCUUUUGUUGGGAAAGAAAAGCAGCAGGUUAAUACCCCGCUGUUCUGACGGUACCCAAAGAAUAAGCACCGGCUAACUUCGUG